rnacentral:tRNA from 1 species
GCUCCUAUAGCUCAGCGGUAGAGCUGCGGACUCUUAAUCCGUAGGUCCUAGGUUCAAAUCCUAGUGGGAGCAC